rnacentral:sRNA from 1 species
AGGAAUUUGUGCCUUCAUAGGCUGAAGACUUAAAGGUUGGAGAUGCUAUGGAGCCCUGCAGAAGAGGGAUCUGCUUUCUGGCAAACCGGGUGUUGAUGAUUCAUGGCCUACCUCAGAUGACGAAGACCUCAAUUUUGAUACCAAGAAUGUCCCAAAACCAAGCUUAGCAAAGCUAAUGACUGCUUCUCAGCAAUCCAGGAAAAAUUUAGAAGCAACAUAUGGCACUGUGAGAACAGGAAAUAGAACUUUGUUUGAGGAUAGAGAUUCCGAUAGUCAAGAUGAAGUUGUGGUUGAAAGCCUUCCUACAACAUCAAUCAAAGUCCAGGGCUUUUCUAAUCCUACCUAUCAAUCACCUGACCUUCUUCCAAAACCUUCCCACAAGUCGUUAGCAAACCCUGGUCUUAUGAAGGUAAGUUGUUUUUUAAAAAACUUUUUUCAUGUACCCUUCCCCUGCCCCAACAAUCCUCAUAAUGAUGCAUCUAUUGAGAUGAUCAUACAGUUUUUGUUUCUAAUUCUGUUUAUGUGAUGAAUCACAUUUAAGACUUGCAUAUGUUGAACCAUCCCUGCAUCCUUGAAAUGAAACCCACUUGAUCAUGGUGAAUUAUUACUUUGUGAUGUGCUGUUGGAUUCGGUUUGCUAGUAUUUUCUUGAGGAUUUUUGUAUCUAUAUUCAUCAGAGAUAUUGGUCUGCAGUUUUCUUUUUUUGUUUUGUCCUUUUCUGGCUU